rnacentral:lncRNA from 1 species
CAAGUGCGUCAGUACUGAGAGUGGUAGUGAGGGUCCCAGGCUGGUGCAGCAUGAAGAGUACCACAAGAAAUGCCCACCUGUGAGACCGCUGAGGCCGGGCAGCGCCUAUCCACCUCCCCACCCACUUUUUCUCAGAUCACAGGCCUGGGAUCUUGGUACAGUCCAAAUGGUGGGGAAAGAGCAUGGAGAAUAACAAAUACAGAACACUUCUUGUUGACUUCUUCAGGAGCAUGUUCUUGGGAAUACAAAUGUGGGGGAGUGAAGAGAAGAAAGCAGGAUGAAGCAGAAGGAAAAGAGGAGCUGCAAUCCAGUGCCCAAAGAGCUGUAGAACUGAGAUCACUCUGAAGAACUGUCCCAAACUGGAAGAAGAGGGGCAAGUAAUUAUAAUACCCUAUUGAUAAUCAUUGGAUGAGAGCUUCCCUGGGGAAGGAGGCAUUACUUUGUUCAUGGUGGGUCCCUUAAGCUAACGCAGUUUCAUCACAACGAUGCUCUCAAUCUGGAGUACACACAUCAAGAGAUGGGCAGACCCUUCAGGAGAGGUUUAAUGCAUCCAGUACACAUCGUGGUCGCUCCGCACAUGCUGGUACCCCCUGCUCCAUUAGCAGAAAUUGCUAAUUCUGAAGGUCUCCCCAUUUAAUGUAAUCCACCUCUCCCUCAUUUAAUCACAAAUACAUUCACGCCCUUCCCAGCAGGAGACAACUGAAUAUCACGUUGUGGGCUGUUCUUCAGAUACUUGUCAGGAAAUGUAAGUUCUCUGAAACACCCCCCAAAGGGAAAAGAAUAUGAAAAAGCAUUUGCCUCACAGGAAACCUGCCAACCUUUCUGUUUUACUUGGUGCUUUAGUAGGACAACCACUGGAAAGGGCAGUUUGUUGUCAAAUGAGCAUGUCAAAUGAACUCCAACCACUGCAAGGCAAAAUGAAACCCACGCUACCUAAAAGGUGUAGAUAUCAGUCCAUGUAAUUGAAAUCUGUCGACUUGGGGGUAAGUUAAAGAAACACCGUGUUGUUGUAGAAGGCCAUUGACAUCUUCUCCUGGUAAAACCCCCAGAGGGUGCUGUCUUAAGGUGUUGGACAGAAACUGCCCCAUGGCAUCUACACACUGGAUGUUGAUUUGAGUUAAACUGAGCAUUUGACAGAAGGAUUCUGACCCAUUCCCUGGAGUGAUUUGGGAAGGUAUUUAUAAAAAGGAAUGAUGUGCUCCAGUGAUUUACAAUAAUGGCAUAUAUUGUUUUGUCUUUGGUUUGUUUCUUGAUUGUAAAUAUUGGUCAGUGUCCAAAAUUAAGAUGCAAUCACUGGUUACCCCAACCUGGGAUGUUUAUUUGGAAAAACACAAAGUGGUUUAAAAUUCAUACAAAUCACUCUAAACCUGGGUACACUCUUUUUCUUUAAAUCUUAGAUUCUGCUGUCAGAUCAAGAGAAAAAGGGAAAGCUUUCAUAUUGCUCAAAAUGAUUUUUUAAAAUUUCCUUCAUUUCUUACUUCCUUCUCAACUCUUUUCCACUCUAAAACAUUCUCAACUCCCUAACUCAUUAAGAUAUUUUAUUCAUAAAGAGAACUUAAAUUAAGAUUUAAAUAAAUAUUUAUUAAACUGUUUUCCAGAUUUACAAAAUCCAGCUGGGUAACUCAUUGAAAAUAAGUACUGUGUAAUCUGUUGUCUAGUAAAAAGGGUUUGAACAGGAUGUUUAGGCCACAUCUCAGCUCCAUCAUUCCUUCUGGUAUCCUGGCAUCACUGGGUAAGUUCACAGUUUAAGGAAGGAAUCUGAGGUGGUAGAACCAGGUGUGCUGGAGAGGCAGCCUAGGUCAGUGGCUAAGAGUGAAAUUCUGGCUUCACCACUUUCUAGCUCUUACAACCUUAGGAAGGUUAUGUAAUUUCAUAUUAUUAUUAUUAUUAAAGCCUUAUGAUAUAGUUAUUAUUAUUAUCUCCAUUUUAAAGAUGAGAAAACACAGAGCACAAAACCAUAAAGACUGUGUCUGGGAUGCAGUAAGUGUUAUGUAAGGGUGUUAAGCAAGUAAGCAUACAAAAUGCAGGACCAAAAGAAGCAACACCAGCCCCCAAACUACACCAUGUGAAUUUCCAAAGAACCAAGUGUUCACACUACAUCAAAACGAGCCUGUUGAAUCUUUUGGACUCUGAGAAAUAAAGCAUAGUUAUUAUCAAAUUAAGAUUUAAAUUCAAUUCCUCAGCUGCGUCUUGAUCACUGGAUACCACUUUAAUAAUCACAUUAUUAAAGAAAGUUCCAAGUUUGGGGUGGAAUACUGCAGAUGAGGAAAGUAGAAAUUACUGCUAUAUUAUGAUCUACACUUUGUCUUAAUAUGAUCUGGCCCAUAUAAAAAUGCUCCAGAACAGUUGCAAAAUAUGGAUAUUUUUCUUUGAAAACCAGCCUUUUGUCUUUAUAACUUACAAAGCCAUUUUUCCCAGUCCACAAAGCUAUUUGGUCACAAAUUUAAGAAACCAGUGAUUCCUGAGAUAUAUGUGCUUUCACACUUCAGGAAAUAAUUUCAAAAUGAUUUUGGCAGUCUACCCAUUUUUAUAAAGAUAAAAAACUAAAAUAUUAUUUUGUCUUAGAAAUAAGUAUUAAUAGAGACAUUAUUAUAUCUUUGCCCCUAGAGCUUUAGAAGCAAAGAUUUGUCUUUCUCUUCCUCUCUCUCUCACUCUUCCCUAUUUCCUCCUUCCUGGUGAGUCUUACUUCUGUAUACUAGAGUAAUUAUAUCUAUUUUUUUGAAUGCUUUUGUAUGUAUAUUAUAAAGUGUUUCCUUUCUUGUUCUCAAUUCAAAUGGAAUACUGAACUGUGCUCUCUGUAUACUAAGUUAACUGGGGCCUGUCGGGGGGGUGGGGGGAGGGGGGAGGGAUAGCAUUAGGAGGAAAACCUAAUGUAAAUGAUGAGUUAAUGGGUCCAGCAAACCAACAUGGCACAUGUAUACAUAUGUAACAAACCUGCACGUUGUGCACAUGUACCCUAGAACUUAAAGUAUAAUAAAAAAAAAAAUUUAAAAAAAAAUUUUGCCCAGCUCGUUUUUUUUCUUUAACUAGAAUACUAAAGAGAUACAAUGAUCUAUUUUAAACAAAGCUAUUUGUCUUAGUAUUUUUUAAAAUAGUACAAGGUGGAAAACAAGCUCAGGGUCUAUCCCUAUCAGAAUAGUCAAACAACCAGAGUUCAUGCAUACUCUAGUAUAAUCUGCAUCUGCUUAAAAAUUUGAAGUCACAUAUACUAAUUUUAAAAAGCCAAUUCCGACACAUUUUAAGAGGGAAACGAUGCAGAUUUUCCGCUCUAGCUCUGCUAUGGUUUGAUUCUUUGUCUCUUCCAAAACUCAUGUUGAAAUUUUAUCCCCAGUGUGGCAGUAUUGAGAGGUUAGGCCUUUAAGAGGUGAUUGGAUUGUGAGGGUUCUGACACGAAUAGAUUGAUCCAUUUGUGGAUUAAUGGGCUAUCACAGGAGUGGAAAGAGAGGAAGAGAGAUCUGAGCUAGCACACUUAGAAAGCUUGCCAUGUGAUACCCUGUGCCACCUUGGAACUCUAUAGAGAAUCCC